rnacentral:tRNA from 1 species
GUCUCUGUGGCAGCAAUUGGUUAGCGCGUUCGGCUGUUAACCGAAAGGUUGCUGUGUUCAAGCCCAGCCAGGGACG